GAUGAACGCUGGCGGCGUGCCUAAUACAUGCAAGUCGAGCGAACAGACGAGGAGCUUGCUCCUUCGACGUUAGCGGCGGACGGGUGAGUAACACGUAGGUAACCUACCUAUAAGACUGGGAUAACUUCGGGAAACCGGAGCUAAUACCGGAUAAUAUUUCGAACCGCAUGGUUCGAUAGUGAAAGAUGGCUUUGCUAUCACUUAUAGAUGGACCUGCGCCGUAUUAGCUAGUUGGUAAGGUAACGGCUUACCAAGGCAACGAUACGUAGCCGACCUGAGAGGGGGAUCGGCCACACUGGAACUGAGACACGGUCCAGACUCCUACGGGAGGCAGCAGUAGGGAACCUUCCGCAAUGGGCGAAAGCCUGACGGAGCAACGCCGCGUGAGUGAUGAAGGUCUUCGGAUCGUAAAACUCUGUUAUUAGGGAAGAACAAACGUGUAAGUAACUGUGCACGUCUUGACGGUACCUAAUCAGAAAGCCACGGCUAACUACGUG
rnacentral:rRNA from 1 species